rnacentral:lncRNA from 1 species
AUGGAACCACGUAAUGAUACACAAAUUUCAGAAUUUCUCCUUCUGGGAUUUUCAGAGGAACCAGAACUUCAGCCCCUCAUAUUUGGGCUUUUCCUCACCAUGUACCUGAUCACUGUGUUUGGAAACCUACUCAUCAUCCUGCUUGUCAGCUCAGACUCCCACCUCCACACCCCCAUGUACUUCUUCCUCUCCAAUCUGUCCUUUGUAGACAUCUGCUUCACCUCCACCACCAUCCCAAAGAUGCUGUGGAACAACAAAACUCAGAGCAAAGUUAUAACCUAUGAAGGUUGCAUCACACAAAUUUAUUUUUUCAUACUCUCUGGAGUAUUGGACAUCUUUCUCUUGACUGUAAUGGCCUAUGACCGGUUUGUGGCCAUCUGCCACCCCCUGUAUUACACAGUCAUUAUGAACCCCCGGCUCUGUGUACUGCUAGUUCUGGUGUCCUGGAUAGUGUGUAUAUUGAAUUCCUUGUUACAAAGUUUAAUGUUGUUGCAGCUUUCCUUUUGCACCGAUGUGAAAAUCCCCCACUUUUUUUGUGACCUCAGUCAACUGAUCCAACUUGCCUGUUCUGAUACAUUUCUUAAUAACAUGGUGAUGUAUUUGGCAAGUGUUCUGUGGGGUGGUGGUGCCCUGGCUGGUAUCCUUUACUCUUACUCUAAGAUAGUUUCCUCUAUACAUGGAAUGUCAUCGUCUCAAGGGAAGUAUAAAGCAUUUACUACAUGUGCAUCUCACCUCUUAAUUGUCUCCUUGUUUUUUUGUACAAGCCUAGGAGUGUACCUUAGCUCUGCUGCUACCCAUGGCUCACAGUCAAGUGCAACAGCCUCAGUGAUGUACACUGUAGUCACACCCAUGCUGAACCCCUUCAUCUAUAGUCUGAGGAACAAAGACAUAAAGGCGGCUAUGAAGAGAUUCUUUGUGAUGGAAAGUCUUAAAAGGCCAAUUGUUCUGGGUCUGGAGAGGUGCCCAUGGCUUAAGGGAUCAAAGCUUCAGUCAGUAGUUGUGAUUCUUUAA